rnacentral:rRNA from 1 species
CGCCUGGGGAGUGCGGUCGCAAGAUUAAAACUCAAAUGAAUUGACGGGGGCCCGCACAAGCGGUGGAGCAUGUGGUUUAAUUCGAUGCAGCGCGAAGAACCUUACCUACUCUUGACAUCCAGAGAACCUUUUAGAGAUAGAAGGGUGCCUUCGGGAACUCUGAGACAGGUGCUGCAUGGCUGUCGUCAGCUCGUGUUGUGAAAUGUUGGGUUAAGUCCCGCAACGAGCGCAACCCUUAUCCUUGUUUGCCAGCACUUCGGGUGGGAACUCCAGGGAGACUGCCGGUGAUAAGCCGGAGGAAGGUGGGGACGACGUCAAGUCAUCAUGGCCCUUACGAGUAGGGCUACACACGUGCUACAAUGGCAUAUACAGAGGGCUGCCAACUCGCGAGAGUGAGCGAAUCCCAUAAAGUAUGUCGUAGUCCGGAUUGGAGUCUGCAACUCGACUCCAUGAAGUCGGAAUCGCUAGUAAUCGUGGAUCAGAAUGCCACGGUGAAUACGUUCCCGGGCCUUGAACACACCGCCCGUC